ACUUUGAUAAUCAUGACAUCACUGUUGAGGUGGAAGUAAAAGCCAACUGUGACAUUAAAGUUCACAGGCCUUGUGAAAUAGAAAAAACUGAUUGUUGUAAAGAAAAUUUGCAGAAACCCAGAAGUCCAGGAGAAGUUACUGGCUUCGGAGAGCCACUCAGUCCAGGUGAAAUAAGGUUCAUAGAAAAUCAGGAAAAAUAUGGUGAAGCUUCCAAAAUAAAGACAGAAUCCAAUCCAUUGAAAGAAAAUGCUCUGAAAUCUUGCCAAAUUCAUAUAAAUGGAAGCCACAUUGAUCACCCGGACAUUAACUGCCGCAAAGCUGUAAGGGAUAUAUUGUUAGAGCACUCACUGCAGAGCCACAAGAAACUCAAGCUAACUAAAAUGAGGGCUAAGAAGAAGAAAAAGAAAAAAAAGAAAUUGAAAGAUGUUUUGAGUGAAAAUUUACAAAGAAAGCGUGAAGGUCUUCAUUCUCUUCCCUUCAAGUCUUACAAACCUGAGAUCCAGAGUAAAUUAUUGAUCAUCAAAAAGAAAGGAAAA
rnacentral:lncRNA from 1 species